ACACCCUACAAGACAAGAAUAUUUUCGUCAUUACAGGACAUCCCGGGGAUGUUUUGGAUUUUUGAAGGAGCACCCAUUUGAAAAACUGGAGCUUAUUGCGGAAGCCACAAACCACCCAAAGAGAAUUUGGUGCCAUGUUCCAUCUACGAUACUUCUUUCUGCAGAGCAUUUCUGAAAAACGCCACCAUGGCCAAACAGCGAUUCGAAAGAGGUCUUUUUGAGUUUCCUUUCGCAUUCCUUGUUUUGUCCGUUCUUAAUUCUUUCUGCCUUUUCUAAGAUGUUUCUAGAAAACACUAAAACUUCAACUGGAAGUUCGUUUGUUUAUGGUGUGGUUCCAGCACUUCGCUUGAACUAUGCUCCUUUUAGCAUAACUAAUAGUGUUGCUGUUGAGUUCCGGAUUUCAGUGUACAAUGCGUGUGACUGAUGCUCUCAUAUGGCAUAGUUUUUUAUUGCAACUGAUAUCUGUAAAUAUGUGGUUAUUAACAAUUAUGUGCAGUGUAAGCAUCCUUUGUAAUGCCUUAAUGACACUCGGAGAAUGGCGAAAAUAUAAUAAAUCAAUUUCAUUUGCAAGUUUCAA